GGGAUAACGGAUGCACUCCCAACCCAAUGUGAACGUUACCAAACUGUUGCCUCGGCGGGGUCACGCCCCGGGUGCGUCGCAGCCCCGGAACCAGGCGCCCGCCGGAGGAACCAACCAAACUCUUUCUGUAGUCCCCUCGCGGACGUAUUUCUUACAGCUCUGAGCAAAAAUUCAAAAUGAAUCAAAACUUUCAACAACGGAUCUCUUGGUUCUGGCAUCGAUGAAGAACGCAGCGAAAUGCGAUAAGUAAUGUGAAUUGCAGAAUUCAGUGAAUCAUCGAAUCUUUGAACGCACAUUGCGCCCGCCAGUAUUCUGGCGGGCAUGCCUGUCCGAGCGUCAUUUCAACCCUCGAACCCCUCCGGGGGAUCGGCGUUGGGGAUCGGGACCCCUCACACGGGUGCCGGCCCCGAAAUACAGUGGCGGUCUCGCCGCAGCCUCUCCUGCGCAGUAGUUUGCACAACUCGCACCGGGAGCGCGGCGCGUCCACGUCCGUAAAACACCCAACUUUCUGAAAUGUUGACCUCGGAUCAGGUAGGAAUACCCGCUGAACUUAAGCAUAUCAAAA
rnacentral:rRNA from 1 species